rnacentral:tRNA from 1 species
GGGGACGUAGCUCAGCGGGAGAGCGCCCGGUUUGCACCCGGGAGGGCACGGGUUCAAAUCCCGUCGUCUCCACAA